GAUAACAUGCUCACAAUCGUAAACAAUUUAAGAAAAAACUCUUGCGCUACGAACACGAUCAGAUAUGCAUUUAAUCAUGGAUUCAACGAUGCAUUCUCUGACUUUUGCGCCAGAUAGCGCCCCCAUCUCAUUUUAUCUAUUAUGAUUAUACAGGCUUUAACAAAGCUUGUAUAUCUUGUCGCCUAAUUAUACAAAGAGUGACAAGCUUUGAGAUGUUUAGGUAUCCAAUUUUUA